UGCCGCGUGCAGGAUGACGGUCCUAUGGAUUGUAAACUGCUUUUGUACGGGAAGAAACACUCCGACGUGUCGGAGCUUGACGGUACCGUAAGAAUAAGGAUCGGCUAACUCCGUGCCAGCAGCCGCGGUAAUACGGAGGAUCCAAGCGUUAUCCGGAAUCAUUGGGUUUAAAGGGUCCGUAGGCGGUCUGGUAAGUCAGUGGUGAAAGCCCAUCGCUCAACGGUGGAACGGCCAUUGAUACUGCUGGACUUGAAUUACUGGGAAGCAACUAGAAUAUGUAGUGUAGCGGUGAAAUGCUUAGAGAUUACAUGGAAUACCAAUUGCGAAGGCAGGUUGCUACCAGUGGAUUGACGCUGAUGGACGAAAGCGUGGGUAGCGAACAGGAUUAGAUACCCUGGUAGUCCACGCCGUAAACGAUGGAUACUAGCUGUUGGGAGCAAUCUCAGUGGCUAAGCGAAAGUGAUAAGUAUCCCACCUGGGGAGUACGUUCGCAAGAAUGAAACUCAAAGGAAUUGACGGGGGCCCGCACAAGCGGUGGAGCAUGUGGUUUAAUUCGAUGAUACGCGAGGAACCUUACCAAGGCUUAAAUGCAGACUGACCGAUUUGGAAACAGAUCUUUC
rnacentral:rRNA from 1 species